GGUGGCUCAGAUGUCCAAGACCACGUGGCUGUGACUGAGACUACUGAAGCCGAUGGAAGCUGGCUGGUGUUCCCAUUGCAAACAUCGCUCUCCCCUGGGAGCCGGGCCCAGGAAUGCCUGCCACCCCAGCCAUGCUGGGUUCCAGCAACUUGAAUCGCAAUUUCUUUGGAUUCCACAGUAGCAGAAUCCUGCCUUGGAAGUAACACUGGACAGACUAUGGAUUGGAGCGAAUGUGAUGGGCUGAUGCAAAUCCUCAAAUGCAGUGAUUCUUCGAAAGAGAAGCUGUUGCUUUAUCAUUGUUAUCUUUGACACCAUAGCCACCCUCAACAUGAUACGCCCUUCAUAACUAACAUUUAUAGGGCAAUCACUGUGGACCAGCCACUGGGAGAAUGAGUGCCUUGAGGGUAGGGCCCAUGCACCCUCAGCCCCUAACACAGAUACUGACAUUCGGUAAAAGCACAUCAAAUGCAUCAAUCAACAUAAUUGACCGAGGA